rnacentral:rRNA from 1 species
CAGUCGCCGCGGGAAUACGGAGGGUGCAAGCGUUAAUCGGAAUUACUGGGCGUAAAGCGCACGCAGGCGGUUUGUUAAGUCAGAUGUGAAAUCCCCGAGCUUAACUUGGGAACUGCAUUUGAAACUGGCAAGCUAGAGUCUUGUAGAGGGGGGUAGAAUUCCAGGUGUAGCGGUGAAAUGCGUAGAGAUCUGGAGGAAUACCGGUGGCGAAGGCGGCCCCCUGGACAAAGACUGACGCUCAGGUGCGAAAGCGUGGGGAGCAAACAGGAUUAGAUACCCGCGUAGUCCCUGUCUCUUAUAA